CACGUGGAAGUGACUCUUCCAGUCUCGGGAUGACACCUGCCUGACAGUUGCCAUCAGGUCCUGUGAGGCUCUGAGGGGGAAUAAGAAUGUUAGUGGAGGUCAGGGAGGCCUUAGAGACCCUCAGGUGAGAACACCGCCGGGCACAACGCAGCCGGAAGGCCUCCUGCCUCCAGUGUCCUCCAGUGUCCGUCCAGUCUGUGUGAGACAUGUCUACCAGGGACCUUUUCCAGACACUGGCUUUAGAGGCCUGUGCUACUGAGCUUCGCAGGGAUAACAUAGCCAAAGCACAUACUGACUGCUGAUGUUGGAAUAUGGUUUGUCCCUCUGGAGGCCAUGAUGGGCAUAUCAAAGUGGCGUCCUCUGGAGUCAAGUGUGUCUACCCUUUACCCUGGUGCCAUUUCUUGCUGCACCACGAAGACAGCUCUGCCCGACCUGUGGCUGUGGACAAGGCCACCCCCAUUGCAUCUUCCACUUAGGCCUGGCUUCUGCCCCGUGUUACUCUUGGACUGUGGUGUCUCCACUGCAGAGUUAAGUGUGCUACAGACCGCAAACGCCAGGAGUCCCAGCAGCCAGUCUUGCCUUUGCCCUGGAGACUUGGUCCAUUUUCAUUUCCUACUUGUAAUUGGAAGUGUGUACUAACGUCUGUUAAACUUUUUCUGGUUGCUCAGCAUACUGUAUUUACUUUAGGAAUAUCUAGUUAACUGCUCAGCAACAUGAUUAAUUUUGUUUAACCCUUUCCAAGUGGGUUUGCUGUCUCUUCAGACUGCUCAAUUGUGCUGUUGUCUGAUCCUAAUAAAGUUCUUAUUUCUGUUGUUAUAGUUGUUAAUCACAGAAUAGUUCUUUUUUCUAUUUUUUACAGCAUUUUUCCUUUUUAAAAUUACAUGUAAGACUGCUCUUGUAUUUCCCUGAGUAUUUUGGUCAUUUUAUCCA